CGGCGAGCGAACAGGGACAAGCCCAGCACCGAAUCCCUCGGCACGCGUGGUCGUUGGGAAAUGUGGUGUUUGGGAGAGCCUUUGCAGCAGUUGUACGCCUUCGGGUCUCGUGCUCGGAGGACAGGGAUGCCAGAGUCUCUCUUGAUUGGGGCCACAACCCGUAGCGGGUGUCAGGCCUUUGUGGCAUCCCCGGCUGUCUGCUCUGUCUCUCCUUGGAGUCGGGUUGUUUGGGAAUGCAGCCCAAAGCGGGUGGUAAACUCCACCUAAGGCUAAAUACCGGUGCAAGUCCGAUAGCAAACAAGUACCGCGAGGGAAAGUUGAAAAGAACUUUGAAGAGAGAGUUCAACAGUACGUGAAACCGCUCAGAGUCAAGCGGAUGGGACCGCAAAAUUGUCUGCUCGUGGGAUUCAGCUCUUCCCGUUGCGAGAGUGACCGGCCGGUGUUCAGAUCGCGCGAUGCGACUGGCGCUGUCGGUUUUGCUUUCGUCGGAGGGCGCACUUGCCACGCUGCAGAGCGCCGCAACCGGUCUGCCGGUCGUCAGAAGCGUUAGGGGGAAGGUGGCCUUGUAUUGCGCGUUCGCGCGGAGUGCAGGGUGUUUACUAGACCCCGAGACGUGCUGGCCGGUCGAGUCAGACUGAGGGCCAACGCUCGCUGAAGAGCUUGGUUUCGUCGGGCGUCGUGCGCGAGGCGCAGGUUCAACUGGGAGGGACUGUCUCGGCAGUGCCUUCCGACCGCCUGUGUCUGAGCGUGCGGGGUUGCACCGGCGAGACCCGCCUUCCUAAACUCCUGUUUGGGAGGGAAGCGCGGGUUUGCGGCGACACAUCAGUCGGCACCCCAUCCGACCCGUCUUGAAACACGGACCAAGGAGUCUAGCGCGUGCGCAAGUCAAUGGGAAUACACGAAACCCAAGAGGCGCAAGGAAACUAAAGGCGGGGUCUCGAACCUUCGCUUAGGCGGGAUCUCGCGUCUUCGACGACGUGGGCGCACCGCCGGCCCUUCUCUGCCGCUCGCACGACGGCGAGGAGGAGCAAGAGCGUACGCGCUGGGACCCGAAAGAUGGUGAACUAUGCCUGAGCAGGA
rnacentral:rRNA from 1 species